GGACCGUACCCUGAAUUGCAUCACCAGUGUGGCACAUUCAAUCAAGUGCAUAUGCAUAACAGGAAUUCUGGCGGCCAAGCUACUCUGUUUGCAACAUGCAUAAACCUCGUGGCUGGGUGGCUUCAACCUGUCACUUUCCAGUAACACCUAGUGUCCUAGUUGUGCUUCUUAGCGGUCACUGACACACCACGUUGCCAGGAUGAACUCCGUUCACUUUCCAGUAACACCUAGUGUCCUAGUUGUGCUUCUUAGCGGUCACUGACACACCACGUUGCCAGGAUGAACUCCGCUCGUAAUGAUAAACCUGCGAGGCUUUUAUCUGUAUAAUCCUUUAGUUAACCAAAUCAGCUUUGAAUCACUGGCGUCCGGG
rnacentral:lncRNA from 1 species